AAAUUGAAGAGUUUGAUCAUGGCUCAGAUUGAACGCUGGCGGCAGGCCUAACACAUGCAAGUCGAGCGGAAACGAGUUAUCUGAACCUUCGGGGAACGAUAACGGCGUCGAGCGGCGGACGGGUGAGUAAUGCCUAGGAAAUUGCCCUGAUGUGGGGGAUAACCAUUGGAAACGAUGGCUAAUACCGCAUGAUGCCUACGGGCCAAAGAGGGGGACCUUCGGGCCUCUCGCGUCAGGAUAUGCCUAGGUGGGAUUAGCUAGUUGGUGAGGUAAGGGCUCACCAAGGCGACGAUCCCUAGCUGGUCUGAGAGGAUGAUCAGCCACACUGGAACUGAGACACGGUCCAGACUCCUACGGGAGGCAGCAGUGGGGAAUAUUGCACAAUGGGCGCAAGCCUGAUGCAGCCAUGCCGCGUGUAUGAAGAAGGCCUUCGGGUUGUAAAGUACUUUCAGUCGUGAGGAAGGCGUUGUAGUUAAUAGCUGCAUUGUUUGACGUUAGCGACAGAAGAAGCACCGGCUAACUCCGUGCCAGCAGCCGCGGUAAUACGGAGGGUGCGAGCGUUAAUCGGAAUUACUGGGCGUAAAGCGCAUGCAGGUGGUUUGUUAAGUCAGAUGUGAAAGCCCGGGGCUCAACCUCGGAAUAGCAUUUGAAACUGGCAGACUAGAGUACUGUAGAGGGGGGUAGAAUUUCAGGUGUAGCGGUGAAAUGCGUAGAGAUCUGAAGGAAUACCGGUGGCGAAGGCGGCCCCCUGGACAGAUACUGACACUCAGAUGCGAAAGCGUGGGGAGCAAACAGGAUUAGAUACCCUGGUAGUCCACGCCGUAAACGAUGUCUACUUGGAGGUUGUGGCCUUGAGCCGUGGCUUUCGGAGCUAACGCGUUAAGUAGACCGCCUGGGGAGUACGGUCGCAAGAUUAAAACUCAAAUGAAUUGACGGGGGCCCGCACAAGCGGUGGAGCAUGUGGUUUAAUUCGAUGCAACGCGAAGAACCUUACCUACUCUUGACAUCCAGAGAACUUUCCAGAGAUGGAUUGGUGCCUUCGGGAACUCUGAGACAGGUGCUGCAUGGCUGUCGUCAGCUCGUGUUGUGAAAUGUUGGGUUAAGUCCCGCAACGAGCGCAACCCUUAUCCUUGUUUGCCAGCGAGUAAUGUCGGGAACUCCAGGGAGACUGCCGGUGAUAAACCGGAGGAAGGUGGGGACGACGUCAAGUCAUCAUGGCCCUUACGAGUAGGGCUACACACGUGCUACAAUGGCGCAUACAGAGGGCGGCCAACUUGCGAAAGUGAGCGAAUCCCAAAAAGUGCGUCGUAGUCCGGAUUGGAGUCUGCAACUCGACUCCAUGAAGUCGGAAUCGCUAGUAAUCGUGGAUCAGAAUGCCACGGUGAAUACGUUCCCGGGCCUUGUACACACCGCCCGUCACACCAUGGGAGUGGGCUGCAAAAGAAGUAGGUAGUUUAACCUUCGGGGGGACGCUUACCACUUUGUGGUUCAUGACUGGGGUGAAGUCGUAACAAGGUAGCGCUAGGGGAACCUGGCGCUGGAUCACCUCCUUAAACGAUGAU
rnacentral:rRNA from 1 species